AUCCGGGUUGCGGACAGUGUCUGGUGGGUAGUUUGACUGGGGCGGUCUCCUCCUAAAGAGUAACGGAGGAGCACGAAGGUUGGCUAAUCCUGGUCGGACAUCAGGAGGUUAGUGCAAUGGCAUAAGCCAGCUUGACUGCGAGCGUGACGGCGCGAGCAGGUGCGAAAGCAGGUCAUAGUGAUCCGGUGGUUCUGAAUGGAAGGGCCAUCGCUCAACGGAUAAAAGGUACUCCGGGGAUAACAGGCUGAUACCGCCCAAGAGUUCAUAUCGACGGCGGUGUUUGGCACCUCGAUGUCGGCUCAUCACAUCCUGGGGCUGAAGUAGGUCCCAAGGGUAUGGCUGUUCGCCAUUUAAAGUGGUACGCGAGCUGGGUUUAGAACGUCGUGAGACAGUUCGGUCCCUAUCUGCCGUGGGCGCUGGAGAACUGAGGGGGGCUGCUCCUAGUACGAGAGGACCGGAGUGGACGCAUCACUGGUGUUCGGGUUGUCAUGCCAAUGGCACUGCCCGGUAGCUAAAUGCGGAAGAGAUAAGUGCUGAAAGCAUCUAAGCACGAAACUUGCCCCGAGAUGAGUUCUCCCUGACUCC
rnacentral:rRNA from 2 species